GGGUCACCGCAGCACGUCCAGGCCGCCGCGGGUGCCGCUGGGGCCGCCGGAUUCCGAGAGCGGCGCCGGGCUCUUUCGGGCCCACGACGGCCCCGACCGUCCUGAGGAAACCGCUGCCGCCGAGGAAAGGCCGCAAAAACUGUUCCGCCCGGAAGGGAGAAGAGCUGCGGGGCGAAGCCAGGGCUCGCAGGGGGCAGCGGCAGGCUGCUCGCGUUCGGCCUCGUCCACUCGGCCCGCGGAGAGCGCGGGGGGCGCUGGGAACCGCAGUCACGCAUGCGCCGCCUGCCACCGAGCGCCGCGGGGCCCGCGCGAGGCGUCCUGGCGGGCGAGGGGCUGGGGGAGGGGGGGGGGGCCGUGCGGUGGACUCUCGCGAGAGCGCGCGGCGCGGUGACUCGUCGCUGAGGGACUUUAAGAUUGUAGAGGGGCGCGGAGGGUCCUCCCCGGGGCGGAGGGACACAGAGGGAUUCUAGGGAACCUGCCGUCGCGAGUCCCGCUUCAGGCGGAGAAUCUAGGCGGCGGCGGGGCCUCCCUGAGGCGGAGGAGUCGGCACCGGGGCCUGGCUGCCGGGGAAGGAGAGCACGGGAGCGGGGACUCCUGUGUCUGGCGGAGGGACACGGCGUUCCGGUGGAGGGAUCUGUUCCUUGUACCUGGUCCAGGGUUGCGGUCGGGGAUGGAGCGGUUACCCCGACCCUGCGGGACCUUCUUCCUCUGGCGGAGGUGCACGGCGCGGCGUGGUGUUUUUCUGGCGGAAGUAUCUGUGCGUGGCCCCAGGCCCUUCCCGGCGCGGUCUCAUCUGGGGCCACUUGUUGGCCCUCGCGUUGGGGAGGUUCAUGUGGUGCAUCCUGAUGAGAAGGGGGGUCACAGGGGUCUCGGGGCCAGGGUUCAGCCAGCCAGGCCCCAGCUUGCUCUCUUCUGGUGCUGCCCCUGUCCCUGAAUUCAUAGACCCGGCUUUCCCUCUCUUGAGCACCUACUAUGUGCCAGGCUGCGCUUUGCGCAUGUAGCAGAGGCAACAGUGUCACCUGGGAAGCUGGUUUCCCCCAAAGGAACUCUUGUCUGUCCGUUGUUGCAGAGCCAGCGCAUGAGACCAAGUGUGAGUAUCAGGCAGUGCAGCCUUCAUUCAGUGGCCAUGGAAUUGGAGAAGUGGGAGGGUAGCUCGCAAAUCAAGCUCUCAGCUCUUGGAAACUGAGAAGUUACAGGUAAUAGGGAGUGUUGACGAAAAGUAAAACCGUGCAAAAUAUUUGAAGAGAUUUAUUGUGAGCCAAAUACGAGUAACCACAGCCUGUGAUACAGCCCUCUCGAGGCCCUGAGAACAUGUGCCCAAGGUGGUCGGGGUGCAGCUUGGUUUUAUGUUUUAGGUUGGCAUGAGACAUCAGUCAAAUACAUUAAAUACAUUGGUUUGGUCCAGGAAGGCGGGACAACGCAAAGGGGUGGGGGUGGGGGCUUCCAGGCUAUAGGUAAAUUUAAAUAUUUUCUAGUUGACAAUUGGUUGAGUUUGUCUGAAGACCUGGGAUUGAUAGAAAGGAAGUGUUCAGGUUAAGAUAAAAGAUAGUGGAGACUAAGGUUCUUUUGAAGUCUUAUGGUGGCUGCUCUUAGAGAUAAUAGAUGACAAAUGUUUCCUAUUCAGAUCUUCAAAAGGUGUUAGACUUUUAGUUAAUCCGUUUAGGAUUGGGAGGGCCUGGAAGAAAAACAUCUAGCUAUGUUAAUAGAUGUUCUUUACAGAUGCACAUUUUACCCCACAAAGGAUAGCUUUUGGGGGAAAAUGCUGUCCUUUAUGGAAGAAAUUGCAAAAUAGGGCAAGGAAACAUGUUUUGGGGUAAAAUAUUUUGACUUUCUUUUUGUCACGUAAUGUUAUGCCAGAGUCAGAAUGGAAAGUAAGUCAUCAUAUAUAGGAUUAAAUAAAACCCAUCUGAUGAGAAUUUAUGGUUUGUAGGUCAUGACUCCCCAGAUCCCUUAGAUAGGAAUUUGGGCAGGAUUAAAAAAAUCAAGAGUUUAGGCUGGUCGUGGUGGCUCACGCCUAUAAUCCCAGCAUUUUGGGAGGCCAAGGCAGGUGGAUCGCUUGAGGUCAGAAGUUUAAGACCAGCCUGGCCAACAUGGCGAAACCCCGUCUCUACUAAAAAUACAAAAAUUAGCUGGGCAUGGUGGCACACGCCUGUGAUUCUAGCUGAUUGGGAGGCUGAGGCAUGAGACUCAACUUGAACCCGGGAGGCGGAGGUUGCAAUGAGCUGAGAUUGUGCCACUGCACUCCAGCUUGGUUGACAAAGUGAGACUCUGUGUCAAAAACAAAACAAAACAGAAAAAAAAAACAAAAGAAUCAGAGCUUAGUCGUCAGGUGUCCUUAAUGAAGGGGCUGGGCAUUAAGAGCAAGGCGAGGAGGCAGAAGGAAAGCUUGAGCCCAGGAAUUGGAGACCAGCUUGGGCAACAUGGUAAGACCCUGUCUCUAAAAAAAAUAAAAAUUAAGAACAAGAGGAGGAAUAUUCAUGUUUUUUCUUGGGAAGGGAGGUAGAUUUUCCUGGAAUCAAGGAGCUGCCCCUUUUUUUGUCCUUUUUUUGGUCUCUUCGGGUCAUCACGGUGAUUGUCAACUGUCAUGGCAACCAGUGGGAAUGUCAUUUAGUACUGAAGUUGGAUUAGAAUGAAGCUAGAGGUUCUUCAGAGGUCGAGUAAGCUAAGAAGGAACCUAUGACCACAGACAACCUGUUUUCUAAAAAUAAGCAGAGUUAAAUCUGAGUAGGAAUUUAGCUAUGUCAUGGAGGCAUUGCAUUGGGUAACAAAAGCCAGGUAGGCGUCCAGCUAAGUCCCCUAGGCCCUGCAACGGGUAACAGCAGUACUGACUCUAUGUUAGAGAAAAGCUUGCUUGCUUGAGUAUAAUUAUUGUUUUGCCUGAGUUUGUAAACUAUUCACUAAAAACAGCCACAGAAAAAAACAGGACCUUCUUCAACAGAUAAAACACACAGACCCGCAGCUUUGGGAACAGGCUGAUGGCCCCUGCACAGUCUAGUCACAAGGCAUUGACCAAGAAAGUAAUGACUAACUGCCCAUCUGAGACUGCGCAUGAUUCACAAGAAUGUUUCUUUGUUUUGUUUUUUGAGACAGUCUUGGUCUGUCUCCCAGGCUGGAGUGCAGUGAUGUUGGUUCGCUGUAGCCUCUGCCUCCUGAGUAGCUGGGACUACAGGCGUGUGCCACCGCACCUGGCUAAUUUUUGUAUUUUUAGUAGAGAUGAUGUUUGACUAUGUUGGCCAGGAUGGUCUCGAACUCCUGACCUCAAGUGAUCCACCUGCCUCGGCCUCCCAAAUUGCUGGGGUUACAAGUAUGAGCCACCGCUCCUGGCCCACAAGAAUGUUUUGAUCAUUAUUUCUCCUAAUUUUCCUUAAAAUCCCUGGAUCUAGAGGCACAACUGAGAAAGGUGGUCUUUGAAUGCUAGUGCACUGCCUUUUGCAGGUUGCUGGUUUCUCGAAUAAAGCUAACUUUGCUUUCACCAAAGCUUGUCUUUUGAGUUUUUGGCUUUCAGGCGACGAGUGGCCUGGACACCAGUUCGGCUACAUGUAUGUCAGUGGGCAAAACAAAAAUCCUUAUUCUGGGAGGUAGAUAGCUUAUUAGAAAACACAACCUAAUCACUUGUUUCCCAAAUGUUAAAAAUUGAGCCAAUUUUAGCCCCAGAAGCUUAGGGUACCAUGUACAUAACAGGCAUUACCUGAGGGUGGGGCAGAGAGAAUCAGUGGGGUACCUCGUAUAUGCCAGGGGUUGUAUCAGCAUCCUUACACAGCUCAUUUUUCUUUUUAAAUAAUACUUAUUGAGGACCUAUUUAAUGCCAGAUAUGGUGGUAGGUAGGGAGCAAAAGCAGGAUUCCCCUCCCAUUAUUGAGUUUUCAGUCUGGUGGGAGAGGCAGGAAUUAAAUAAGUAAUCCACAAACUCAAGUACAAUUCUAAGGGAGAUGGGUGCCACCAAGAAGAGACAUGGUGCUGAGAACCUAUGUCUGUCAGAGGGAUUUGAUCUAUUUGGGAGGUCUGGAAAGGUUUUUUUGAAGAAGCAGUGCUAGGGGUGAGAUCCAAAGGAGAAGAGCUAAUUAGGCAAAGCCUAGUCCUCACAAAAAUCCUAUAAACCAGAUAUGAUUACCUUCAUUUUAGAGUUUAGGGCAUUGAGACUUGAGCAAGGUGAUGUCACUGCCCAAGGUUACAUCAGAUUAAAUGGCAACCCAGGAUUCAGAUUCAAAUAAGAGUAGGGUUCUUUAUAUUCUCCUUGGGCUAUUUGGUGGUUUUAGGAGAGGCAAGUAUCACAAACAGCUUGGGGACAUGAGGGAGCAGGAAUCACAAACUUGAAAGCCUGCAGAGCUCAGGCAGAUAGCAUAGAGUGAAGUAGGGCAGAGUGUAAGACAAUAGGGGAUGGUGGGGAGUGUGGUGAGCUGAAGGCCACAUUUCCUGUCUAAAGGAAGCAGCCACUAGUUCCAGUCUCUUGUUGCCAUGCAGGAUUACAGACCAAGCCCUGCUGGAUCUUCUGAUGAUAUUAUUUUGAGGGCUUGGCGCGGUGGCUCACGCCUGUAAUUGCAGCACUUAGGGAGGCCGAGGUGGGCAGAUCACAAGGUCAGGAGAUCGAGACCAUCCUGGCUAACAUGGCGAAACCCUGUCUCUACUAAAAAUACAAAAAAUUAGCUGGGCGUGGUGGUGGGCGCCUGUAGUCCCAGCUACUCUGGAGGCUGAGGCAGGAGAAUAGCGUGAACCCGGGAGGUGGAGCUUGCAGUGAGCCGAGAUCGCGCUACUGCACUCUAGCCUGGGCAACAGAGCGAGACUCCUUCUCAAAAAACAGGCUAGAGUGCAGUGGUGCAAUCAUAGCCCACUGCAGCUGGGACUGCAGACACAUGCCACUACCCGGCUAAUUUUUAUAUAUUUUUUUCAGAGACAGGGUCUCACUAUGUUGCCCAGGCUGGUCUGAAACUCCUGAGCUCAAGUGAUCAGCCUGCCUUGACCUCCCGAAGUGCUGGAAUUACAGGCGUGAGCCCCUGCGCCCGGCCUAGAUCUUCUGAUUUCUAAAAAGAAGCUGGCAGUAUUUUUAGGUGAAGUUAUCACACUUCUAAAUAAUUGGCAGUUACAUGAGUUUGCCUCACUAUAAUGUUAACUCAGUGAAGCAGGACAUUUUAUGUUUUUAACCACUGUGUACUGGGAGCUUAUAAAGUGCCUUACGCAUAGUAAGCACUCAACCUCAUCUGUGGUAUGUAGCCUCUGAGCGAUUCCUCCCUUGUGCGCAUGGUUUCACAGUUUUUGAAGCAGUUUUAUGGUCAUUAUUUUAUCCACCAGUUUUUCAGCUGGCACCUCAUUUGUCCUGAUGCGGCUGCUGCAGGAAAAGUCCCCGGAAAGGCUCCCCAGGGAAAUAUUUAGUUGUGCCUUCCUUUUGUACCUUUCCGCCCUCUUUGUAUUUUACAUUUUCUCCAUCCUAAUGUGCCUGGCAUUAUACCUUGGCUCCCUCUAGUUAUCCAGCCCAUUUUAUAUUUAAUAUUUUGUUGUUGCUUUGGUUCUCACCUAGACUUUAUGUAUUGACCUGGGGCCCAUGACCACACUUAGGUAUACUUUCACUUACUCUUGGCCCAGCCCCUGCUCCCAGCUGCUUGUCAGGGAAAAGUGCAUGAAAAGGUUUCAUUUCUUAGAAAUUGCUGUCCUGAGACAUCUUGCGAAAGUGAUCAUCCCUGGACAUCUGAACUUCCUACUCCAUCACAUGGACUUGAGCAAGAGAAAAAUCUCAGGUCUGCAUGGGGCAUUUAGAACCUUGCCUCCUGAAAGCUCCUCAGGGUGCAGAGGGAAUCAGGUUUGCUCUUUAUUAUUUCUUAGGUGCAGGAUCAUAAGUUGUUCAGGAAUUGUUACAAUUUUGUGGUAGCCUCUCAGUAACACACACAAGUGCGCACACACAGACUCAUAUAUACGCAUAUGUCUGUGUAUAUAUAUAUAUUUUUUGCAUAUGUAUAUAUUUAAUGGAAAAUUUCGAACAUAAAAUAGAAUCCUCACGUUUCUGUCCUCCAGCUUUAACAAUGAGCAAUUCAUGGCCAAUCUUGUCUCACCUGCUCUGAUCCUGGAUUAUUUUGAAGCAAAUUCUGGACAUGAUAUUUUUUAUUUGAAACUAUCAGAAUGUAUUGUGUAAAGACAGGAACUCUUUUUUUUUUUUUUUUUUUUGAGACAGAGUCUUGCUCUGUCGCCCAGGCUGGAGUGCAGUGAUGCGAUCGCGGCUCACUGUAACCUCCACCUCCCAGUUUUAAGUGAGUCUCCUGCUUCAGCCUCCCGAGUACCUGGGAGUAUAAGCGUGCACCACCACUCCAAGGUAACUUUUUGUCUCUAGUAGAGGUAGGUUUCGCCUUGUUGGCCAGGUUGGUCCUGAACUCCUGGCCUCAAGUGAUCCGACUGCUUCAGCCUCCCAAAGUGCUGUGCCUGGCCAGGAACUCUUAUUUUAAACAUAGCUUCAAUAUCAUCAUAAGCUCUUCUCAAUUGUAUCAACAAUUCCUUAAUACCAUUUAAAGAAACAGCUAAUUUGGGCCAGGCAUGGUGGCUCAUUCCUGUAAUCUCAGCACUUUGAGAGGCUAAGGGGGGGAUGAUUGCUUGAGGCCGGAAGGUCAAGACCAGCCUGGGCAAUAUAGUGAGAUCCUCAUCUCUACAAAGAUAAAAGUUAAGCAGGUGUGGUGGCACACACCUGUAGUGCUAGCUAUUCAGGAGGCUGAGGUGGAAGAAUUGCUUGAGCCCGGGAGGUCGAGGCUGCAGUGAACCAUGAGGGAACCACUACACUCCAGUUUGGGUGAUAGAGUGAGACUGUUUCCUCAAAAAACAACACAACAACAACAAAAAGAGCAAACUCAGGACAGCUAAUUCGUUUGCAAAAGAUAAAAGGGUUAUAGAUGCUGGACAUGUAAAAAGAACAGAUGUCCUCCACAUUUGCUAACUAGGUGUUUACAUUUAGUUCAGCAUGAAAAUGGUGUCUUGGGAACAGAAAAGCAGAUUGUUGAAGAAGUAGUGGAUCAAUAUGUAGGUCAGUAAAUGAAGCAGGUCAUGGUACUCUGAGGUAUUUUUAAGAAGUGGUUAUUUUCUCAAGACCCCAAUCCUCUGAGUUGAUCCAAACCCAGAGCCACUCUCUUUGAUGCCAAGAACAAUGUUCACACUAAUCUUUCUUUGGUAGAACAUCAUAUAUCACAGCUGUUAUUUUCUAAAUAGGCGCAGAUCCAACUUUUGCACCAGAUUCCUCUGUCCAUGGUGCUGAGCCACCAGCCUUUUGGCCAGCAGGCUGAUGAACUAUAACUUGGUGUUGGCUAGUGGGAUCUAAUUUAGGGUCACUGUAAACGUGAAUAUUAAAUAUGCAUUAAAGUCCUAAGAAAUUAUAUCUGUGCAUAUGUUAGUUAAAAAAUAAAAACUCCAAGAUAGAGAAUUUUUUAGUAAUGCCUGUUAUUUCUCAUUUUUUUUUCAUUUUUUCCUUUUUCUUUUUUUUUUUUUUGAGACAGAGUUUCACUCUGUUGCCCAGGCUGGAGUGCAGUGGCACAGUCUUGGCUCAGUGCAACCUCUGUCUCCUGUGUUCAAGUAAUUCUGCCUCAGCCUCCCAAGUAGCUGGGAUUACAGGCACAUGUCACCACGCCCAACUAAUUUUUGUACUUUUGGUAGAGAUGAGGUUUCAUCAUGUUGGCCAGGCUGGUCUCGAACUCCUGACCUCAAGUGAUCCGCCCACCUCGGCCUCCCAAACUGCUGGGGUUACAGGCAUGAGCCACCGUGCCAGGUUAUUUCUCAUUUCUUUUAUUUUCUUUUCCUUUCUUUCUCUUUUCCUUCCUUCCUUCCUUCCUUCCUUCCUUCCUUCCUUCCUUCCUUCCUUCCUUCCUUCCCUCCAUCACCCAAGCUGGGGUGCAGUGGUGCAGUCUUGACUCACUGCAGCCUCCACAUCUCAGGUUCAAGAGAGUCUCAUGCCUCAGCCUCCCGAGUAGCUGGGAUUAUAGAUGUGUAUCACCAUGCCUGGCUAAUUUUUGUAUUUUUUUGUUUUUUUAGUAGAGACAGGGUUUCACCAUGUUGGCCAACUGGUCUCAGACUUCUGGCCUCAAGUGAUUCACCCACCUUGGCCUCCGUAAGUGCUUGGAUUACAGGUGUGAGCCACCGUGCCCAGCCUUUUCAUUUCUUUUAUGCCAAAUCUGAUCUACUUCUUAAAAAUUGAAAAGUAGAAAUGAGAAGAUUGGGUAUGUGUGUACUGGUGUCUACUUCAGACAUAGUAUUAAUAUUUUCAAAUAUGAUUCCUUAACUAAGCUACAUGCCUCUUUAUAAAGCAUCAUGCCAGGCACUAAUGGGAUAGGCAGAUACAUAAGACAUGACCAUUUUACUUAAAGUGUUACAGUAAAGUGGAAAAAAUUUGAGACGGUGUCUUGCUCUGUCCUCAGAUGAUAUCCUCAGGCAAUUGAUUCCCCUCUAUUUUCAGCUCUGUUUUUUCCUGAAUCAACCUUAUUUUCAGUAGGUUCUCCCCAUGUAGUAGCUGCUGGUCUUCUGAAAGAGAGUACACUUCCCUGAACCCCCAGUAGUUUCAGCAAAUGUCCUGGGGCUGACCCUCAUAGGGUUGACUUGGGUCAUGUGCCCAUCCUGAACCAAUCACUGUGACCAGGGAGAGGGAAUUCCUGAUUGGUGAGGCCUGGGUCACAUGUCCACUCUGGAGCUGCGGUGUCAUAAAACCGUACAUAAUUCCAUAUGAUUAUAUCAGGCAAUUAGAGCUGUCAAUUCAGAUGUUUUGGAAGUGGUCAAAACAAACUUCAUGGAUGAGACUGAAAUUUAGUUAAGCUUGAGGAAUGGGCAGGAAUUGAUAAGAGGAGUUCUAGAGGUGGGCAGGACUAGAGUACAUUCAAUGGACCAGGGUGAACUGAGUGGGUAGUUGGUGAAGGGAGAGAGGUUGCAAAUGCCAGAACUUUGAUUACCUUGAUAGGAUAACCUUGGCCAAGAGAGUUGCAAGCAAACCUUUUGACAAAAUUUGCUUGAGCCAGCCUGUGGUCUAAUCCUUAUUCUUGUCUGUGAUGCAUGGAUAGCCCUUUGGGUUCUAGCUGGCCUUUGUCUCUGGAGUUCUGGGAACACCUCUUACUGACCUCAUUGCCUACUUUGUGAUGAGGCUUCUAGUUAUUGGAAAAGUCUAAUGUCCAUGUAUGCCCUCCUGUGACCAAUCCGGUUCACCCCUUGUAGUUGAUUGUGCCAAGUCAUUUUAGCCUGGGACACAGAAAAUAUGCUGCAGGCCUUUCCCUAUUUUCAGAGUAAAGCCUUGGGAGAGCUUGCUGCAACACUGUCAAACAGAAGAAAAAUCCCUCUUAAUCAGAAGAGCAAAUGCAGCUGUUUUCAAUGGCAAAGUCAUGGAACCAACCUAAGUGUUUGCCAGUGGUUGACAGGCAGAAAAUGUGGUGGGCUGGACAUGGUGGCCUAUGCCUGCAAUCCCAACACUUUGAGAGGCUGAGUCAGGAGGAUUGCUUGAGGCCAAUACCAUCCUGGGCAACAUAAUGAUAAAAAUAAAAAUAAAAAAUUAGCCAGGUGUGGUGGCAUGCACCUGUAGUCCCACCUACUAGGGAGGCUGAGGUGGGAGGAGCACUUGAACCCAGGAAGUGGAGGCUGCAGUGAGCUGUGAUGGUGCUAUGAUGGCUGGUGGAGUGGGACCCUGUCUCAAAAAAGAAAAAAAAAUGUGGCAGAUCUAUAACAUGGAAUAUUACAUAGCCAUAAAAAGGAUGAAAUCAUGUCCUUUGCAGCAACAUGGAUGGAGCUGGAGGCAAUUAUCCUAGGUGAACUAAACAGAAAAUCAAAUACUGCAUGUUCUCACUUAUAAGUGGGAUCUAAACAAAGGUUACACAUGGACAUAAACAUGGAGAGAAUAGAUUUUGGGGAUUCCUAAUAUGGGGAGGGUGGGAUGGGGGUGAAGGUUGAAAAAUUACCUAUUGGGUACAAUGUCUGGUAUUUAGGUGAUAGGUCCACUAGAAGCCCAACCCACACCAUUAUGCAUGUAAUACCCUUGUAACAAACAUGCACAUGUACCCCCAAAUCUAAAAAAAAAAUCAAGUGAAGCACAAGCAAGGAACAGCUGCAAGGAAAUCAAAGUUCCUUAUGUGCAAGCCACACUUUUAUUGGGUGCUCCCACUUUGCCUCUGUGAGUCCCUAGAGAGGUCCAGUGUUCCUCUUGGGGGAUUCACCCAAUUAACCAUGUGCGUGUAGACAAGGGAAUUUCCCUGGAGGCAGGGAAGUCCAGGUUGCUACUUGUCUAAUAGCUAAAAUGUAUUGAAUUUUUAUUAUGAGCCAGGUAUGAUUUUGACUAUUUUAUAUGCAAUAACUAAUUUCGUUCUCAUGCCAACACUGGGAGGUAGAUGCUAUCAAUAUUCCCAUUUACUAACAAGAAAAUUAAAGCAAAGGGAAGUAACAUGCCCGAGUUCUUCUAGCUGCUGAGUAGAGGAUCCUGGAUUCAAAUUCACGUGACCUGACUCCAGAGUUUGUGCUUUUAACCAUUACUUUAUGCUGCAUCUAACCCUGUUAUUUUAACUUACAAUGACUGAAAAAGAAGGCAAAUAAGCUCAUUUAAUUAUCAGAAAGGACUUAAUGCUCAUCAUUGCUAGUCAGGAAUAGAUUGAGAAUGUAGAGGCUGCUGCCAGCAUCUCUUUGUUCUGUGCAUUACCUGUCAGGCUGAGUUUGCCUUUUGUAGACACAAGGAAAUUCCCUUUAUCUUGAUUUCCAUCCCUCUAUUAUUUUCUAACAAGGGCUCCAGCCUUUAUCUGCACCUGCUCCUUUUUAUCUGUCUUGAUAAGACCCAUUUUCCCCGAGUUCUCGCAUUUUUCAGAGCAGGGUACCCAAAGACCAUGAAACCUCUAUGGCUAAUAUUGGUCAACUCUCAUAGGAUAACUUUCAUGUAUUAUACUAAUUAUCUUCUUCCCGCUAGGAAAGAAGUUGAAGAGGAGGAACAAUGGAAAUGAAGGGGUUAGGGGAUAGGAUCUUGCCCCAAUAGGAUGGGAUAAAGGGGCUGUGUGAUUAGGUAGAGCCAUGGGUUCUAUACUUCAAGACCAGAAUCUCAGGCUGGGAUUCUAUGAGUAUUUCCUAUAAGAAAUGCUAUAGAGGCCAGGUGCAGUGGCUCAUGCGUGUAAUCCCAGCACUUUGGGAGGCCGAGGCGAGUGGAUCACCUGAGGUCAGGAGUUUGAAACCAGCCUGGCCAACAUGAUGAAACCUCGUCUCUAUGAAAAAUACAAAAAUUAGCUGGAUGUGGCGGUGCUUGCCUGUAAUCCCAGCUACUCGGGAGGCUGAGGCAGCAGAAUCGCUUGAACCCAGGAGGCGGAGGUUGCAGUGAGCUGAAAUCGCGCCAUUGCACUCCAGCCUGGGCAACAGAGCAAGAUUCCAUCAAAAAAAAAAAAAAAAAAAAAAAAAGCCAUAGAGACUUGGAGUGGCUUAGAAACAGAAAAUGGCAAAUAGCGACCUUGGCCAGAUGUGCCUGGAUUUGAGUCUGUGAACUGCCCAUUUUCCACUGUUGGCCCAGGACUGAAACAAGCAUGUGUAAAAGGGGCUGACCGGUUAUUUCCAAGUUAAGUAAACUUCUCCCUCUUGUCGCUCAGCACAUGAGUUCGUAUGGGAGGUUGAGUAUCAUUCGUGAAAUCCAUAUCCUGAUGUUGGAAUCCCCGAUUUUUUUCUCUUAUGAACACUGUCAGAUGGUGCCAGGCUGUCCCUCCAGCCAUCUGGUUUGGUUUGGGGGUCAGAGGUCUGGCAGUGUCUUCAUGUAUGUGGCUGAUUCUGUGCAUGUCUUGGGAGUUUGGGUAGGUGUAAGCAAGUAGGCAAUUAACUACCCAAAUCAGGAGGUCUGAGAAUGGGCUAGUGGACAGAGCAGGAGCAUUGCUAUCUUGGACAAACCCCACCAUUUUAAAUUCCCCUUGAUUAAAAAAAACCUGCCUAAAUCCAGCCCCCAAACAUCAGCCUAAUGGCUAAUGUUAGCAUAACCAGAAACAUUCCAACCCUAAGAUAAACGCCACUCCAACCAGAAACAUGCCGACCCCAAGAUAGCUUCACCUCCAACCAGAGACUUUCCAACCCCAUGAUAAACUUUCCCUCACAUCGAAACAUUGCGAACCUACGAUAAGCUCCCCACUUCCUAUAUCCUUAAACAUCUUUAGUCUGUAAGAGAGAGUGCCCCCGAUCAAAACUGGUCAGAAACCCCUCAGGUUUAUUCUCCAAAAGAAACUGACUUUGAAUGUUAAGCUGCUUUUCAUGUUUCUUUGCUCUUUAACUCUUACACUAGUGGGUCAUUUCCCAAGUGUGAUGCUAUCUACACUAGUUUACCAUGGUUGCUGAGAAGAUAAAAUAUAUGCCUGGACCUGUUGUUAGUCUACUAGGUUGCUGUAAGGAGAGUCUUCCAAGAAUGAGGCAAGAUAAAAAAGCAGAGGGUGCCACAGAGUUUGAAGUCAUUAUUUGAGCUCCUAGAUGCAACUGCACCUGAAACUAGACCCCUGUCUCUAGGUUUUUGAGCCAAUAUAUUCCUUUGCUUUGCUUAAGCCACUUUGAAUUCAAUUUCUGUCACUUGCAACCCACACAGUUCUGACUGAUAUACAAAAUAAACAUAUUACAUGUUAUCUUCUGUGACUCAGAAAUUAUUAUCCAUUUUUACAGAUGAGGAGUUGGAGUUUUAAAGGUGCAGGUAACUUGCAGUGAAAAGCUAAGGUCUGGCACAAGGUUGAUCUUGAAUCUGAAGAAGAAAUGGUUCAAAGUCUCCUUUAGAGAUGCUACCUUCCUGCUGCUCACUUCCAGAAUUUAGUCAGGGAAUUAUUGGGCUGACUUGAGUUGUUGUGUAUACAGUCUGUGAACUUGCAGUUUAUGGUAUUUUAUAAUUUUGUUUUCCCUGCCGUUCUGCUAAUGCAGCUUUGUGAGCAAACAUUGCCUGUGAUUUAAAUCCACCACCGUAAUGAAACGCACACACACACAUGCACACACACUUCCUUGGAACAGUCCACAGCUCUCUGAUUAAUCACAUGUGUACAGUACAGUGUUUACAGGAAAUCAGCAGGUGGCAAUUAGCAUCUUGGAAAUUAUCUGGGAAACACAACUGGAGCUGCCACUUCAGGAUGGAAAUGUGGCAACAACCGGCAAAGUGACAAACCCCUUGGAGUUGGAAAUGAAUGGGGCUGAAAGCGCUGCCAGGCACACAACAGCUGGUGGGGGCAGCCCGGUGUGGACUGCAGACUGCCUGCUAGCUUCUUCCUUUUCUUCCCAACGCGUAAGAAGCAAUCCUUGAGUAGAGACAUGUAAUAGAUGCUCAGACCUGGCUGGACAUGGUGGUUUAUGUCUGUAAUCCCAGAACUUUGGGAGGCUGAGGCAAAGCCAUGAGUUCAAGACCAGCCUGGGCAACAUAGUGAGACCCUGUCAGUGCCCCCCCACCCCCCAAAAAAAAAAAUUACCCAGGUGUGGUGGGGCAUGUCUGUAGUCCUAGCUACACAAGAGGCUGAGAUGGGAAGAUUGCUUGAGACCAGGAGUUUGAGGCUACAGUGAGCUGAUUGCACCACUGCACUCCAGCCUAGGUGGCAGAGUGAGACCCUGUCUAAAAAAAAAAGGAAAUGUUUUCAACAAUGACCAAAUGGAAUGAAAUAAUGUUUAUUCAGUAUGUAUCACAGUAUCUGCCACAUAAUUCUCAAUAAAUAGUAGGUAUUUUCAAUUAUUAUUUAGAUCAAGGCACAGGCAGACACUGGCAUUACUGUAACACUUGUUAAAAUAUUAAGCUAUUUCCAUAUCAGUUGGAAAACAGCUGCUUUCUUGAACCCUCUGAGUGGCUCCCCACUGCUGCCCUCCCUUGGGAGCCACACUCUUCCGGAUCCAGUGAUCAAAACGUUAACGUCUCAAUCCUGCUCCAGCGAUAAGUCCAGUGUCCAUUCUGAUUGGUCAGUUUCUGUGCUGUCAGGACUCUUACUGCUCAGGAGUUUCAGUGACCACAAGAGAAAGCAGCAACACGAGGAUGGAUGUACUGAAAGGAGUGAGGAGAGGAAACAGUGCCAGUCUGUUUUAUACAUGAGAUGUUCUUCAUCAAUAAUUGAAAACAAAUUCAAUGCUAGUUGGUAUGGUUUGGCUCUGUGUCCCCACCCAAAUCUCAUCUCAAACUGCAAUCCCCACAUGUUGAGGGAGGGACUUGGGAGGUAAUUGGAUCGUGGGGGCAGUUUUCCCAAAGCUGUUUUUGUUUUUUGAGACAGUUUUACUCUUGUUGCCCAGGCUGGAGUGCAGUGGCACGAGCUCAGCUCAUUGCAACCUCCACCUCCUGGGUUCAAGCAAUUAUUCUGCCUCAGCCUCCCAAGUAGCUGGGAUUACAGGUGUCCACGACCACACCUGCCUAAUUUUUUUUGUAUUUUUAGUAGAGACGGGGUUUCACCAUGUUGGCCAGGCUGGUCUCGAACGCCUGACCUUAGGUGAUCCACCUGCCUUAGCCUCCCAAAGUGAUGGGAUUACAGGUGUGAGCCACCACGCCCAGCCCCAAAGCUGUUCUUGUGAUAGUGAGUGAGUUCUCAUGAGAUCUGAUGGUUUAAAAGUGUAGGCCGGGUUCGGUGGCUCAUGCUUGUAAUCCCAGCACUUUGCGAGGCUGAGGCAGGCAGAUCACUUGAGAUCAGGAGUUCGAGUCCAGCCUGGCCAACAUGGCAAAACCCUGUGUCUACUAAAAAUACAAAAAUUAAUUGGGUGUGGUGGUGCACACCUAUAAUCCCAGCUACUUGGGAGGCUGAGGCACAAGAAUCACUUGAACCUGGGAGGCGGAGAUUACAGUGAGCCAAGAUCACACCACUGCAUGCCAACCUGGGUGACACAGCAAGACCCUGUCUCAAAAAAAAAAAAAAAGAAAAAGAAAAAGUGUGGCACUUCCCUCCUAGCUCUCUCUCUCUCCUGCCACCACGUAUGAUGUGCCUUGCUUCCCCUUCUCCUUCCACCAUUAUUGUAAGUUUCCUGAGGCUUCUCCAGCCAUGUGGAACCAUGAAUCAGUUAAACCUCUUUUCUUUAUAAAUGAUGUAGUCUCAGUUAGUUCCUUAUAGCAGUGUGAAAUGGACUAAUACACUAGGUAUAUGUAUAUCUGUACUUAUGUCUACAUAUAUUGAUAUCACUAUCAACAUCUAUAUCUAUAUCGUCUUCUGUAAAUGAAGUGGCAGUAAAGCCCUGAAUUCCAGUCUCUCUAACAUUCACAUUGGUUCUCAGCCCUGGUUGCACAUCAGUGUCACCUCUGAGAGCACUUACAAAAUACAGAUGCUUGGACACCAUCCACAGAGAUUCUAAUCCAGUAGACUUGGGAUGAAGCCCAAUCAUCAGAAUUUUUAAAAAAAUAAAAUCUCCCAAGAUGAUAUUAGCAUGCCAUUGAGAGCCACUAACUUAAAUUUACUAAGCUUCAUGUUCCCAUGUAAUCAGUACAAACACCCAUCUCCCAGGAUUACAUAACACAAUGUACAUGAGGCUUUUUAUCACAAUGUGGGACCUAACCCUGUAAAUGUUAGUUCCAUUAAUAAUUAAUAUUCAUUACUUUUUUCUUUUGAGAUGGAGUCUCGCUCUGUCGCCCAGACUGGAGUGCAGUGGCACGAUCUCGGCUCACUACAACCUCCACCUCCUGGGUUCAAGUGAUUCUUCUGCCUCAGCCUCCUGAGUAGCUGGGAUUACAGGCACCUGCCAACACGCCCGACUAAUUUUUGUAUUUUUAGUAGAGACGGGGUUUCACCAUGUUGGCCAGGCUAGUCUCCAACUCCUGACCUCAGGUGAUCCACCUGCCUCAGCUUCCCAAAGUGUUGGGAUUACAGGUGUGAGCCACCGUGCCCGGCCUUUAAAUUUUUUUAUUGGAAAAAAUUUUUUGCCCAUGACACAGCCCUCAGGAAACCCUGAGAACAUGUGCCCUAAUUCAUUUUUUUAUAUGAAGUAGAGGUGAAAAUUCUUUUAUAUUUUUUCUAUAUGGAUAUCGAAUGGUUCCAGCAUCAUUUUGUUAAAAAAUUCUCUUUCUCCAUUGCAUUGACCUGGUACCUUUGUGAAAAAUAAGUGGAUUCAAUAUGUAUGGGUCUAUUCCUGUAUUCUAUUCUGUUCCAUUGAUCGGUUUGUCUAUCCUUACGUUGAGUCCUUGUCUUUUAAUUGGAGAUUAUUGAUGCAGUUUGUUGACUCCUUCUGUAUAUCCUAAUUUCUCUAAUCAGGCCAAAUCUUUCUCAGUAACAGCAAGGGAUAAAGAAAGCAAAGAAGGCAGUGAGCUGAGUGCUGCUAAGCCAAUUCAAAAAGCCGUCAGAGGAAUGAGCCCUGCUUUGACUUGUGCAGGUGUUUCUUUCCACUGAUCAAUGGUUAUCAGGUCAAAAAGCAAGGCAACACGAUUAAAUAAUCAACAUUUUCUACCUAAGUUAUGACCAUGCCAGUGAAAGGCAAAGUAGGGCUGCAGUAGCCAAGAAUGUCCCGAGCUCCCAGCUGCAGCCCAAUCCCUUGAAUUUACACCCUAAGCCCAUCACUCACUCUUAAACUCAGUCCACUGUUCAAAAGCCUCCAGAACAACCUCCCAGAACUUCCGCCGAGGUAGAACUGGUUGGCGCAUAUGCUGUUCUGACUGUAAUUACUGUUUGCUCUGUUCACUUCAUUUGUAUGACUUUUCUAAUAUCAUAAUGAUCAUAUCAUUAUCAAGAAGAGGAGACCCUUUGUAGUAAUUUGCUAUAACAAAGUCCUACAAACUGGGUGGCUUAAACAAUAUAAAUGUAUUUUUUCACAAUUCGGGAGGCUAGAAGCCUGAGAUCGAGGUAUUGGCAGGGCUGAUUCUGAGGUCUCCUUGACUUGUAGAUGGCCGUCUCCUCCCUGGGUCUUUAUCUGGGCUUUUCCUUGGACAUGUCUGUGGUUAAAGUGAUGAAAACUCAUGGCUUGUUAUCUUGGAUUUGUUGCUUAAAAUUUGUGUGAUGUUGAGCAAGUCGUCUACACUCUUUGCACUUCAGUUGUACCAAAGUGGGUUGGAAGGUUCUUAUUUAUUUAUUUAUUUUUUAGAUGGAGUCUCACUCUGUUGUCCAGGCGGGAGUGCAGUGGUGUGAUCUUGGCUCACUGCAACUUCCGCCUUCCGGAUUCAAGCCAUUCUCCUGCCUCAGCCUCCUGAGUAGCUGGGACUACAGGUGUCUGCCACCAUGCCUGGCUAAUUUUUGUAUUUUUAGUAUCCACCUGCCUUGGCCUCCAAAUGUAUUGGGAUUACAGGCAUGAGCCAUCAUUUCCGGCCAUAUUUUAUUUUUUUAAGAGGUAGGGUCUUGCUCUAUCGCCCAGGCCAGAAUACAGUGAUGCAAUCAUAGCUCACUGCAGACUCAAUGGUUAAGCAAUCCUCCAGCCUCAUCCUCUUGAGUAGCUGGGACUACAGCUGUGUGCUUCCAUGCCCAGCCAAUUAAAUUUUUUUGUUGUUGUUGAGAUGAGGGACUCACUAUAUUUCCCAGGCUGGUCUCAAGCUCCUGGCCUCAAGCGAUCCUCCAACCUUGGCCUCCCAAAGUGUUGGGGUUACAGGUGUGAGCCACCGCACCCAGCUGAGUUGGAAGGUUCUGACUGUCAUCCUGGUUUUACCAUGCACUGGCUAAUGAGACUAAAUGCAAGUUCUACAAGUUUCCAAAGUCUCAGUUCUCUCAUCUGCAAAAAGGGCUAACAAUGCCCACACAGCUCACCUCACAGGCAUUUGCAGAGCAUCACAUGAACAAGUUGGUGAAUAUUUUAGAUCUUUAAACAGUUUUGCCUUUUCCAGGAGGUCAUAUAGUUGGAAUCAUACAGUAUGCAGCCUUUUCAGAUUUUCAGGCAAAACCAUGGAGACAACAAAAAGGUUAGUGAUUGCCAGGGUUUAGGGGUGGGUGGGUAGGGAUGAAUAGGCAGAACACAGAGGGUUUUAGGGCAGUGAAAAUACUCUGUGUGAUACUGUAAUGGUGGAUACAUGGCAUUAUACAUUUGUCCAGACCCACGGAAUAUGCAAUGUCAAGUGUGAACCCUAAUGUAAAUUAGGGACUUUGGUGAUAAUGACGCAUCAGUACUGGUAGGUGCCUCAGUUGCAACAACUGUACCACUCUGGUGGGGGAUGUCGAUCAUGGGGGAGGCUGUGCAUGUGUAGGGAAGGGGGUGAAUGGGAAUUCUCUCUGCCUUCCUCACAAUGUUGCUAUGACCCUAAAACUGUUUUUAAAAAAAUCUUAAAAAAAUAAAAAAUAAGGCCGGGUGUGGUGGCUCAUGCCUGUAAUCCCAGCACUUUGGGAGGCUGAGGCAGGUGGAUCACGAGGUCAGACGUUCGAGACCAGCCUGGCCAACAUAGUGAAACUCUGUUUCUACUAAAAAUAGAAAAAAAUUAGCUGGUCAUGGUGGUGGGCACCUGUAAUCCCAGCUACUCAGGAGGCUGAGGCAGGAGAAUUGCUUGAACCUGUGAGGUGGAGGUUGCAGUGAGCUGAGAUUGUGCCACUGCACUCCAGCCCGGGCGACAGAGUGAGACUCCAUCUCAAAAAAAUAAAAAUAAAAAAAUAUAGGCCUGGGCUGGUGGUUCAUUACUGUAAUCUCAGCACUUUGGGAGGCUGAGGCGGGAGGAUCCCUUGAGCCCAGGAGUUCAAGACCAGCCUGGGCAAUAUAGUGAGACCCUGUCUACAAAAAAUCAAAAAAUUAGGCAGGCAGGGUGGUGUGCACCUGUAGUCCCAGCUACCUGGAAAGUUAAAGCAGGAGGAUCGCUUGAGCCUGGGAGUUUGAGGCUGCAGUGAGCUAUGAUCACGCCACUGCACUCUGGCCUGAGUGAGAUAGCAAGACCCGUAAGGCAAGGCAGGGCAGGGCAGGGCAGGGCAGGGCAGGGCAGGGCAGGGCAGGGCAAGGCAAGGCAAAAGACAAGACAAAAAAGAAAGAAGAAAGAAAAGAAAGAGAUAAUGUAAUAUUUGGAUAGAAAUGAAUGACGAAGAUUUGGGAGAUAUCCUUUCCUCUUAUAUUGUUUUUUAAGAGCUUCUGGAAAUAGUCAAACUUAUUGGCAAGGAAGACGGGGUGUCCUGAUAACUGAUUAUCUGUUUUCUACCAGGACAGCGUUUGCUUCUUCAGGUGAUAAUGGUGGCUGUUAAUCCAAAAGUGAACAGCAGAGGGCAGUUUGUGCCCAAAAAUGACAUCACUCUUGCUGUCUCCAGCAAGCUCUGUGAAUAUGGGGCCAGGGAUUAUAAUAAAAUUCAUGUAGAGUCCACUAAUACUGCAAUCCACGGGUGCAGCUCAGGAUUGCUAUUUGUUUUUGACACACACACACACACACACACACACACACACACACGUAUAUAUAUAUUUUUGAGACAGAGUCUCCCUCUGACACCCAGGCUAGAGUGCAACGGCGCGAUCUCAGCUCACUGCAACCUCUGCUUCCCGGGUUCAGGCGAUUCUACUGCCUCAGCCUCCUGAAUAGCUGGGAUUACAGAUGCCCGCCACCAUGCCUGGCUAAUUUUUGUACUUUUAGUAGAGACGGGGUUUCACUAUGUUGCCCAGGCUGGUCUCGAACUCCUGACCUCAGGUGAUCCACCCACCUGGGCCUCCCAAAGUGCUGGUAUCACAGGCGUGAGUCACUGUGCCCAGCCUGUUUUUGAUCUGUAUAUGUUUUUUAAAAUUAUCAACCACACGCGUCGUUAAAAUAUUAAAUCUACACAAGAAUUUACAAAAGAUUCCUUAGAGUCACCACACGACCCUACGCAAUCAGGCCCCCCUUUUACUUCUCUGUCUUUGAAUCCUAUACACUUGUUGGCCCCAGCGCAUCCUCAGAAACUGUUCUCGCUGUUCCCUUGCCCUGGAAGACUCCUCCCCAGAUAUCAAUGAGGCUCAUUCCCUUACCUGCUUCAGAUCUUCACUUGAUCAUCUCCUUAUAGAGGUUUUAUCUGGUCUUCUCAUUUACUAUUACAGCCCCUCUCAACACUCUACACCCUCAUUUGAAAAGUUCCUGGAUCAUAGGGUUAUACAUAGUGUUAUUCUUUUUCUCCAGAGCACUCAUCACUCUUGCUCAAUCUGUUACACUUAGUAAUUAAAAAAAAAAAAAUUCUGUGGUUGGGCAUGGUGGCUCAUGCCUGUCAUUCCAGCACUUUGGGAGGUGGAGGUGGGAGGAUUAUUUGAGCACAGGAGUUGGAGACCAGCCUGGGCAACAUAGCAAGACCUCAUCUCUACCACAAACAAAUAAAAAAUCAGCUGGGCACAGUGGAGUGGGCCUGCACUUCCAGCUACUCAGGAGGCUGAGCUGGGAAAAUCACCUGAGCCUGGGAGGUGGGGGCUGCAGUGAGCUAUGAUUGUGCCAUUGCACUCCAGCCUGGGUGACAAUGCAAGACCCUAUCUCAAAAAAACAAAAUAACAUUCUGUCUCUUACCUCUAGAAUGUAAGCUUCAUGAGGGCAGAAACUUUUUUUUAUUUUUAUUUUUUUCAUUUUAUUUCAUCAGUGCCUAGACAAUCCUAGCAUGUAAUAAUAGGCUUAAUAAAUAUUUGUCAAAUGAAGCUACAACACAGCUCUGCUUAUGAAAGAUGCUGACCUUUAUGAGAAUGUGAUAAAAUGAAUUGGCAUCUUUUACUACCUCAUGCAUAAUUCUGGGAUUUGGCAAUUAGGGGUGGGCUCAGGUGGUUGGCUUUUCUGUUCUAGACCAGGCUUAGCUGAUCUUAACUGGGCAUGCUCAAGCUUCUAAGGUCAGCUGAGGCACCUCAGUUUUCCUCCACGUGGCCUCUCAUUCUAUAGCAGGCUGGCUUGGGCUCAUUCACAUGGUGGCCUCAGGCUUCCAAGCACAGCAAGGGAGGCAAUUCCAAUGUACAAGCCCCCGUUUGCAUUAUAUUUCCCAUUCUCUCCUUGGCCUAAGCAAGGCCCAUGACUAACCCAGAUUCAUGGAGGUAGGAGCUGCUAAGUAACAUUGCAAACAGGAGUGCAUACAAAGAUGAGAAGAAUUAGGGGGUAUUUUUGCAACCCACCAUCAUAAGUAUGAUUCAGUUGCCCUUGGAAAAAUAGAAUAAAAUCCCACCAAGAACAUAUUCAGUUGCCUGUUUCUUUGCUGUAUUAUGCACUGUGUAUUAUUACAUUUAACAAAACUUCACUAAUCAGAUAGAUGAAAAAUAGUGUCUUAUUUGCUCAGAGAACUUGAAAGACAUCAGUGUAGCUGGUAAGAAGUAGAGCUUGACCUCAAAAUGCAGGUUCUUGCUUAUACACUGUUGUUGGGAAUGUAAACUAGUUCAGCCACUGUAGAAAGUAGCUUGGAGAUUUCUCAAAGAACUUAAAACAGAACUACCAUUUGACUCAGCAAUCCAUUACUGGGUAUGUAUCCAAAAGAAAAUAAAUCAUUCUACCAAAAAGGCACAUGGACUGAAAUGUUGAUUGCAGCGCUAUCCACAAUAGCAAAGACAUGGAAUCAACCUAGGUGCCCAUCAGUGGUGGAUUGGAUAAAUAAGUUAUGGUGUAUAUACACCAUGGAAUACUACACAGCCAUAAAAAAAUAACCCAAUCAUUUCGUUUGCGGCAACAUGGAUACUGCUGGAGGCCAUUAUCCUAAGCGAAUUAAUGCAGGAAUAGAAAACCAAAGACUACAUAUUCUCACCUAUAAGUGGAAGCUAAACGUUGGGUACUCAUGGACAUAAAGAUGAGAACAACAGACACUGGGGGUACUAUAGUGGGGAGGAAGAGAUGAGGGGAGGGGUUGAAAAACUAGCUAUUGAGUACUAUGCUCACUACCUGGGUGAUGGGAUCAAGCAUACCCCAACCCUCAGCAUCAUGCAAUGUACUCAUGUAACAAGGCUGCAAAUGUAGCCCCUGAAACUAAAAUAAAAGGUGAAAUUAUUUUAAAAAUAUUGCAAAUUCUCACUUGGCUUGCCAUGCUUUCUCACUGUAGGCAGGGCAUCAAGACCUGUCCUUGACUCCAGGCUGCGUCCUGUGACUUGCUUCGGCCAAUAUGGUAUUCACAGAUGUGAUGCAAGCAGAAGCUUGAAAUAGGCUUGCGCGCUGGCGCUUGCUGUCUCUUGUCCCUCUGCCAUCACCAUGAGAACAUGCCCAGACUAGUGUGCUGGAGCAUGAGAGACACGAGGAGAGCUGAAGCAGCCCAGCCACCCUGCAGAGGCCAGUCCAGGUGCCUGGAUAGCCAGCUGACACCUGGACACGAGAGCAAGCCAGCCAGGAUCAGCAGAGCCACCUGGCUGACCAUCAGCUGCCCCAAGAUCUGUGCAUUGAUUGCUUUCAUCUCACUGGUCUCCCCAGAGGACCUGUGAGUUUAGAGCAGAGAAAUGGCAUCCCACAACUCUUAGAUGAUGGAGGAGCCUAAUUCAAUCCCAGCAUCCUCAGGCCCUGGGGACUCCCUGUUGUUGUGCUUGGACCUAUGAAUUUGGACACGCUCCUGGGACAUCCUUUAUAAAACUAUUAACCCUUUCCUGAUCUCCUGUAGUUUCCUUAGCUGGAGUGUUCUGAUGGUGCAGAGGCUGUUGGGCUGGGUUAGAAAAAUCUUAAUAAUUAUCAACACUCUGGCCAGAGUCAGACCCCGACAUCUGAUGGAAAGGGUCACGAAUGGCAGAAAAGGAAGCUGGCUGAAUUUGCCCAGAGCCUGCCUGAGAUGAUGGAUGAGCGGCCCGGCAGGCCAGGAAGGAUGGAGAUGUUUCUAUUUCUUAAGGCAGGGCAUUUUCUCCCAGGGCACAGGAUGAGUGGAAACAGGGUCAGAACAAAUCACUUUACAUUUUUUUUCUCUCUCUCUAUUUUUUUUUCCUUCUGAUGAGAAAUAACUCCUACUCCCAAGGCAUGAUAGACUAGUAAAACUGCAUCAAAGCUACAUUUAUGCUCUGAACAUUUUUUUCCAUGAAUUUUAAUCUUCUUGUGGGACUGUAACCUCUCUGAGAAUCUGAUGAAAGACAUGGACCCAUUCCCCAGAAAAAUACUCAUAAACACAAAUUUUUACUUAAAAUGUUAGGGGAUUUACAGUUUCUCUGAAACCCACUCAUGGAACCUAGAUUAGGAGAUUCUAAGAGAAGAAAAGAGGAAGGGAGGGAGGGGGAGACAGUAGUGAGGAGGGAGUUGGAAAAAAAUGGGGAGAGUUUUGAAACAAACGUGUUGAGAAGUUUGAACCACAGAUCCUCUGCCCCCUCUUCACUCUGUGCUAGUUCAAGAACCUAUACUUUUCCUACAAAUCACUUCUCUUAGUCAAUGAUAUCAUAGUCCAUGUAUCGUUCUGCAAACCUGCCUUUUCCCAUCAAGUCUGCCUAUUUCAUAUCUAUUCAUAUAUGGUAUAUUUUGAUGUAGUCUAUUCACUUUAACUGCUAGAGAGUAUGUGGUAGGAAUUUACCUCAUUUUAUGUAUCCAUUUUCUAAUAUUGGACAUUUAAAUAGUUUCCUGUUUCCCGUUACCUUUGGAAAUAUCCUUGUAUAUUUCUCCUUGCGCACAAGUGAGAGAAGUUUCUCUGUGGACUUUUCUUAGAGUGGAAUUGCUGGGUUGUAGGGAGUGAGGGUUUUUUUUUUUUGAGACGGAGUCUUGCUCUGUGGCCCAGGCUGGAGUGCAGUGGUGUGAUCUCGGCUCACUGCAACCUCCACCUCUUGCGUUCAAACGAUUCAGGAGUGAGCAGUUCUUGAACAUUUUAAGAUACAAUUACCUUGCUCUCUGGGGUCAUUGCACAAAUCUACAGUAGUGUCUUGGGGUUGUGUUACCCACGUCCUUUUCAAGGCUUGUUAUUUUCUGACUUUUAUACAUUUAAAAAAUGAAUCUGAUGGGCUUAAAAUGAUGUGUGUAUAUUUUUAAAUGUGUGUUAUAUUUGCAUUUAUUCACUUUUUUUUUUUGGCGUUUGUGUGCCUCUUCUGCAAAUUUCCUAUGUCCUUUGCCUAUUUCCCUUCCCCUACUAGCAUAUUGAAGGUGAAGUCUUUCUAGGUCUUGGUUUUGGUUUUUAAAAUUUGGCCAUAGCCCUACCUCCUCAAAACUUGGUAAAAAAAAAAAAAGUGGCAUGCAUGGGAGACGAAGUCAGAACUUGAAUUUAGGGUAUUCCAGUUUCAGUCCUGGCUCUGAUGCUAACUGGCUGUGUGAAUUUGGGCAAGUUAUUUAACCUCUGUAAACCUCAGCUUCCUCACCUGGAGAAUGGUGAUAACCAUCUCUACUUCUCAAAGUCAAUGACAGGCUUAAAUACACUGGUGCCUAUGAGUGGUCAGUAAAUAACAGUUGAGUUGAAGAGCCCAGAUAAAGUUCUCACCAUGUCCAGAUGCCUUCACAUAUAGCUCUGAACGGAUCUAUAGCACAGCCUCCAUGAAGGAAUUCAGCUAUCACAGUGGGGCACAGCCCUCCCAUAGGACGGUUCUGCUGUCUGCCAGGUGGCCCUAGAACUGACACACAGUUCUGGAGACCCGUAGACUGUUCUAGGGAAGCCCCCUCCCCACUUUCUCUGCUACUUCCAGAGAGGUCUCAUGGGACAUCAUUAACCUCACAUCGGAACAGUAGUGGCUCUGGAAUGCCAAACCAGCAUCUAUACCCUCCCUUAAUGCCCACUAAGGAAACCAAACCAUUUGGAAUUAGUAAUAAUAACAAAAGAAACAACAAUAGCUCAUCAUUCUUGAAUGCUACCUGAAUAGAUAUAAAGCACUUAGAACAUUGCCUAACACAUAGGAAGCACUAUGUAAGUGUUAGCUAUCAUCAUUAUUAUUAUUACAUGGUGAUGAUGAUGAUGUACUAGGCACUGAGUUAAGCAUAAUGGACAUUAAUUUGUUUAAGCCUCAUAACUGUAAAGAUUUUUGGUUAAUUCUCAUAAGUAUAAGUGCUGGGGAUGGACACCCCUCCCAGCGCUUUUCUAAGUUCUUUCUCUAAGCACAGAGAUGUUGGACUAGGGGGGAAUGAUUUUUUUUCCUUAAGAUGAUAGUAAUACUUCAUGUAGUAUUUGUUCAUCAAUUAACAGCUUACAAAGUGCUUCCAUAGGCAUGCAUUCUUUCAGUCCUCACAAAAUCCUAGUGCAGGAGUAUCUUAUCUCCCUUUUGAAACAGCCCCCUCUCAGCUUCCAGGAGCCACAUAUCCUGGUUUCCUUCCUCUAUCAUGGUCCACUUCUUUCCAAUCUUCUUUUGCUUGAUCCUCCUUUUCCCCCCGAUCUCCACAUGUAAGCGUUUCUUAGAGGAUCUGAUGCAUGAGUUCCAUGCGCAGAGAUUCUAGCUUAUUAAGAGUUGAUUUGCUGUUAAGGCUUAGGCAGCAGCACUUUUUUGGUGGGUGCAAAUUAUUAUUAUUAUUAUUUUUCACAGAGCAGUGUGAACAUUUAUUUGUACAAAUUUAUGGGCCAACACUCUCACCACUCCGAUUCAACAUAGUGUCAGAGGUAUUUGAACCAGAGUAACUCCAUCUUAAAUAGGAGCUGUGUAGAAUGAGGCUGAGUCCAACUGGGCUGCAUUCCCAGACAGUUAACGCAUUUAAGUCACAGGAUGAGGUAGGAGGUUGGCACAAAGUACAGAUCAUAAAGACCUUGCUGAUAACACAAUUUGCAGCAAAGAAGUCAGCUAAAAUCCACCGAAACCAAGAUGCCCACGAGGGUGACCUCUGGUUGUCCUCACUGCUACACUCCCAACAGCGCCAUGACAUUUUACAAACUCUAUGGCAAUGUGAGAAAGUUACCCUAUAUGGUCUAAAAAGGGGAGGCAUGAAUAAUCCACCCCUCGUUUAGCAUAUCAUCAAGAAAUAACCAUAAAAAUGGACAACCAGCAGCCUCCAGGGCUGCUCUGUCUAUGGAGUAGCCAUUCUUUUAUUCUUUCACUUUCCUAUUAAACUUGCUUUCACUUUAUGCACUUGCCCUGAGUUCCUUCUUGCGCAAGAUCCAAAAACCUUCUCUUGGGAUAUGGAUUGGGACCACUUUCCAAUAACAAUAGUACUGGAAAUCCUAACCAGAGCAAUCAGGCAAGAGAAAAAAAAAAGUCAUCCAAACAGGGAAAGAAUAUGUCAAAUUAUGUCUCUUCCCUGAUGAUAUAAUUCUAUAUCUAGAAAAUCCUAAAGUCUCUACCAAAAGGCUCCUAGAAUGGAUAAAUGACCUCAGUAAAGUUUCAGGAUACAAAAAUCAAUGUGCAAACAUCAGUAGCAUUUCUACACAUCAAUAAUGAUCAAGCUGAGAUCCAAAUCAAGAAUGCAACCCCAUUUACAGUAGCCACACCAAAAACAAAAUAUCUAUCUGGGAAUACCUCUAACCAAGGAGGAGAAAGAUCUCUAGAAGGUGAACUACAAAAUACUGCUGAAAGAAACCAUAAAUGACACACAAAUGGAAAAAUAUUCCAUGCUUAUGGACUAGAAGAAUCAAUAUUGUUAAAAUGGCCAUACUGCCCAAAACAGUCUAUGGAUUCAAUGUUAUUUCUAUCAAACUAUCAAAGCCAUUCUUCACAGAACUAG
rnacentral:lncRNA from 1 species